rnacentral:lncRNA from 1 species
CAGAUUGGUCGCCUGAUGCAGUCAGUAAUUGGGAUCCCUCCUAAAUAAAUGACAUGAAUAAGAUGAUUAACUUUGCCAGAGACACAAAAAUACUGAAGCAGAGAAAACAGCUGUUGCAUAUUGCACGUAAAUGUGGUUAUAUCGUGCGUUGAGGAGGUGGCAUCUCUGGCGGUUGGCGACGGCACGUCAGAACCCGUGGAGGGCGACCAACGGCGACAAGGGCCGGGAGGCCGAGGCGGCGUGAGGAGGAGGUCGAGCAGGUCGAGCAGGUUCGCGGUCCAUGGCCUUCCUUGUUGUGCACAAGCAGAGAUGAGUCGGGCCUGCACACAACAGCACGCACACACACAUCAAAUCGAGAAGAAGAAGAAGAAGAAGAAGAAGAGAAGGGGAUGCACUCACGCAUCAAAUGCUCUUCUUGGAGGGGAUCCUGCUGGCUUGACCUGCAGUUGGAAGGAGGGGCUAGGGUUUCAGGCGGCGGUUGCGGUCGGACGCGAGGGCUAGGUCCUCUGCUGCUCUCUGCAGGCAACCAUGGUGGUGGCGCGAAACGGGGCUCCUCUGCAGCGACCGGAGAGGAGAUGAGAUGGGGGAGGAAGAACGCGGGCGCGGGCUACGUCGUCGCCGUCGAGGCCAUGGACCAGAGGGUGAUCUGCGGCGCCACCGCCAGAUCGGUCAUCAUGGCCGCGGGCGAGGGAGGCGACGGUGACGUCUUGAGUAGGAGGAUGGGGGCGAGGGCUUAAGGAGGAGGUCGGAACGGCGCUGGCUGGCUUCUCCCGGCGAGGUCCGGGAGGCGCCCGGGCGAGGCCAGCGAGGAACAUGCAGCGGCGGCUGAGGAGGAGGGGCUAGGAACCCUAGCCAGGGUGAGGGAGUCAUGGGUGGGUGGCGAUGGAUUGUGGGAGCGGGCUGCCUAUGAGCGCAUCGACCGUGGGGAGGUAAAAAACCAGACGAAAAAAUAACCAACGAAAAUAAAACGGAGGUGGGAGGAUGAUGAAAAAAACCAGCGAAAAUAAAACCGCGCGGACUAUUCACCAACUGCUCCGUUAGGAGUAGAGAUUAUGAGAAAUUAAAUGAAUUGAUGGAUCAUGCUGUACUCACAGAUUGGUCGCCUGAUGCAGUCAGUAAUUGGGAUCCCUCCUAAAUAAAUGACAUGAAUACGAUGAUUAACUUUGCCAGAGACACAAAAAUACUGAAGCAGAGAAAACAGCUGUUGCAUAUUGCACGUAAAUGUGGUUAUAUCGUGUGUUGAGGAGGUGGCAUCUCUGGCGGUUGGCGACGGCACGUCAGAACCCGUGGAGGGCGACCAACGGCGACAAGGGCCGGGAGGCCGAGGCGGCGUGAGGAGGAGGUCGAGCAGGUCGAGCAGGUCCGCGGUCCAUGGCCUUCCUUGUUGUGCACAAGCAGAGAUGAGUCGGGCCUGCACACAACAGCACACACGCACACAUCAAAUCGAGAAGAAGAAGAAGAAGAAGAAGAGAAGGGGAUGCACUCACGCAUCAAAUGCUCUUCUUGGAGGGGAUCCUGCUGGCUUGACCUGCAGUUGGAAGGAGGGGCUAGGGUUUCAAGCGGCGGUUGCGGUCGGACGCGACGGCUAGGUCCUCUUCUGCUCGCUGUAGGCAACCAUGGUGGUGGCGCGAAACGGGGCUCCUCUGCAGCGACCGAAGAGGAGAUGAGAUGGGGGAGGAAGAACGCGGGCGCGGGCUACGUCGUCGCCGUCGAGGCCAUGGACCAGAGGGUGAUCUGUGGCGCCACUGCCAGAUUGGUCAUCAUGGCCGCAGGCGAGGGAGGCGACGGUGACGUCUUGAGUAGGAGGAUGGGGGCGAGGACUUAAGGAGGAGGUCGGAACGGCGCUGGCUGGCUUCCCCGGCGAGGUCCGGGAGGCGCCCGGGCGAGGCCAGCGAGGAACAUGCAGCGG